rnacentral:snRNA from 1 species
GUGAUUGCUUCAGCAGCACAUAUAUUAAAAAUUGGAAUGAUACAGAGAGGAUAGCAUGGCCCCUGCACGAGAAUGACA